UUCCAGACUCCUACGGGAGGCAGCAGUGGGGAAUCUUCCGCAAUGGGCGCAAGCCUGACGGAGCAAUGCCGCGUGAACGAAGAAGGUCUUCGGAUUGUAAAGUUCUGUCCUUAUCGAAGAGAGGGUAUAGAGUGAAAAAUGAUAUACUAGGACGGUAGAUGAGGAGGAAGCCCCGGCUAACUACGUGCCAGCAGCCGCGGUAAUACGUAGGGGGCAAGCGUUAUCCGGAUUUACCGGGUGUAAAGGGAGCGUAGACGGCCAGACAAGUCAGGAGUGAAAGCCCAGGGCUCAACCCUGGGACUGCUUUUGAAACUGCCGGGCUGGAGUGCAGGAGAGGUAAGCGGAAUUCCUAGUGUAGCGGUGAAAUGCGUAGAUAUUAGGAGGAACACCAGUGGCGAAGGCGGCUUACUGGACUGUAACUGACGUUGAGGCUCGAAAGCGUGGGGAGCAAACAGGAUUAGAUACCCUGGUA
rnacentral:rRNA from 1 species